rnacentral:rRNA from 1 species
AUUGAACGCUGGCGGCAUGCUUUACACAUGCAAGUCGAACGGUAACAGCACUUCGGUGGCUGACGAGUGGCGAACGGGUGAGUAAUACAUCGGAACGUGCCUAGUAGUGGGGGAUAACUACUCGAAAGAGUAGCUAAUACCGCAUGAGAUCUAAGGAUGAAAGCAGGGGACCUUCGGGCCUUGCGCUACUAGAGCGGCUGAUGGCAGAUUAGGUAGUUGGUGGGAUAAAAGCUUACCAAGCCGACGAUCUGUAGCUGGUCUGAGAGGACGACCAGCCACACUGGGGCUGGGACACGGCCCAAACCCCCAGGGGAGGCAGCGGGGGGAAAUUUGGGAAAGUGGGCGAAAGCCUGACCCGGCAAUGCGGCGUGAAGGAGGAAGGCCUUGGGGCGGUAAACUUCUUUUGUAGGAAACAAAAAGCCCUCUUUUAAAACAGGGGGGUAAUGACGGUACCGAAAAAAAAACCCCCGCCUAACUAGGG